rnacentral:misc_RNA from 1 species
UUUCCGUAGGUGAACCUGCGGAAGGAUCAUUAAAAAUCUUUGCGGGUGCUGCGUGCGCAACUGUGCGUAGGCUUCACAUGACCACAAGGUCUUGCGUUCUGGAUGUUUACGCUUGUUUGUUUGCCAGAGUUAGUUGUGAAUAAAAAAUACAACUUUUAACAAUGGAUCUCUUGGUUCUU